rnacentral:rRNA from 1 species
UGAACGCUGGCGGCGUGCCUAAUACAUGCAAGUCGAGCGAACAGAUGAGGAGCUUGCUCCUCUGACGUUAGCGGCGGACGGGUGAGUAACACGUGGAUAACCUACCUAUAAGACUGGGAUAACUUCGGGAAACCGGAGCUAAUACCGGAUAAUAUAUUGAACCGCAUGGUUCAAUAGUGAAAGACGGUUUUGCUGUCACUUAUAGAUGGAUCCGCGCCGCAUUAGCUAGUUGGUAAGGUAACGGCUUACCAAGGCAACGAUGCGUAGCCGACCUGAGAGGGUGAUCGGCCACACUGGAACUGAGACACGGUCCAGACUCCUACGGGAGGCAGCAGUAGGGAAUCUUCCGCAAUGGGCGAAAGCCUGACGGAGCAACGCCGCGUGAGUGAUGAAGGUCUUCGGAUCGUAAAACUCUGUUAUUAGGGAAGAACAAAUGUGUAAGUAACUAUACACGUCUUGACGGUACCUAAUCAGAAAGCCACGGCUAACUACGUG